rnacentral:rRNA from 1 species
AUGUUGGUGCUGUUUGAGACGCCCACUGGGUUCGCCGUUUUCAAGGUUCUGAACAAGGGCAAGCUCGACAAGAUCAUGGACGAAUCUAUGGAAGGAGUUCACCACAUCGGACUCGGCGAGAAAGUCAAUUAUCCAUUUCGUUCAGCAUGGUGGCCAAGAUGCAGCAGCCCCAUGUUCUGUUCCGAUGGGCCUCCUCUACUCGAUGGUUGCCGCUGGUUGAGUUUGGUAUGGUUUCCUAUUGUUGCAUGUGUCGAGCCAUGGGUCCGUCUUUCCUUCGUAUUAAGCCUACUUCUCAUGUCGCUGGCGCUUCUUCUUCUCGUCCGUCCUGCUACUUACCCAAAGUUCUUCUGCUUGCUGCCUCAGGUUGUACGAUCUCUUCUGUCGCUGUGUUGUUCGACUCAUCAAGGUUUCUUCUUUCCUUUCUACUACAUGUGUGUGUGCUUUACUUUUAGUAUCUUCUAUGUCAUGCUAUCUGCCUUGGUGAUCUUUUAA